UGCAAGUCGAGCGAAUGGAUGGGAGCUUGCUCCCUGAAGUUAGCGGCGGACGGGUGAGUAACACGUGGGCAACCUGCCUGUAAGACUGGGAUAACUUCGGGAAACCGGAGCUAAUACCGGAUAAUUCUUUUCCUCACAUGAGGGAAAGCUGAAAGAUGGUUUCGGCUAUCACUUACAGAUGGGCCCGCGGCGCAUUAGCUAGUUGGUGAGGUAAUGGCUCACCAAGGCAACGAUGCGUAGCCGACCUGAGAGGGUGAUCGGCCACACUGGGACUGAGACACGGCCCAGACUCCUACGGGAGGCAGCAGUAGGGAAUCUUCCGCAAUGGACGAAAGUCUGACGGAGCAACGCCGCGUGAGUGAUGAAGGUUUUCGGAUCGUAAAACUCUGUUGUUAGGGAAGAACAAGUAUCGGAGUAACUGCCGGUACCUUGACGGUACCUAACCAGAAAGCCACGGCUAACUACGUGCCAGCAGCCGCGGUAAUACGUAGGUGGCAAGCGUUGUCCGGAAUUAUUGGGCGUAAAGCGCGCGCAGGCGGUCUUUUAAGUCUGAUGUGAAAGCCCACGGCUCAACCGUGGAGGGUCAUUGGAAACUGGAGGACUUGAGUGCAGAAGAGGAGAGUGGAAUUCCACGUGUAGCGGUGAAAUGCGUAGAGAUGUGGAGGAACACCAGUGGCGAAGGCGACUCUCUGGUCUGUAACUGACGCUGAGGCGCGAAAGCGUGGGGAGCGAACAGGAUUAGAUACCCUGGUAGUCCACGCCGUAAACGAUGAGUGCUAAGUGUUAGAGGGUUUCCGCCCUUUAGUGCUGCAGCUAACGCAUUAAGCACUCCGCCUGGGGAGUACGGCCGCAAGGCUGAAACUCAAAGGAAUUGACGGGGGCCCGCACAAGCGGUGGAGCAUGUGGUUUAAUUCGAAGCAACGCGAAGAACCUUACCAGGUCUUGACAUCCUCUGACAACCCUAGAGAUAGGGCUUUCCCCUUCGGGGGACAGAGUGACAGGUGGUGCAUGGUUGUCGUCAGCUCGUGUCGUGAGAUGUUGGGUUAAGUCCCGCAACGAGCGCAACCCUUGAUCUUAGUUGCCAGCAUUCAGUUGGGCACUCUAAGGUGACUGCCGGUGACAAACCGGAGGAAGGUGGGGAUGACGUCAAAUCAUCAUGCCCCUUAUGACCUGGGCUACACACGUGCUACAAUGGAUGGUACAAAGGGCUGCAAGACCGCGAGGUUAAGCGAAUCCCAUAAAACCAUUCUCAGUUCGGAUUGCAGGCUGCAACUCGCCUGCAUGAAGCCGGAAUCGCUAGUAAUCGUGGAUCAGCAUGCCACGGUGAAUACGUUCCCGGGCCUUGUACACACCGCCCGUCACACCACGAGAGUUUGUAACACCCGAAGUCGGUGGGGUAACCGCAAGGAGCAAGCUAGCCUA
rnacentral:rRNA from 2 species